rnacentral:rRNA from 1 species
UAGGGAAUCUUCGGCAAUGGACGAAAGUCUGACCGAGCAACGCCGCGUGAGUGAAGAAGGUUUUCGGAUCGUAAAACUCUGUUGUUAGAGAAGAACAAGGACGUUAGUAACUGAACGUCCCCUGACGGUAUCUAACCAGAAAGCCACGGCUAACUACGUGCCAGCAGCCGCGGUAAUACGUAGGUGGCACGCGUUGUCCGGAGUUCUUGGGCGUAAAGCGAGCGCAGGCGGUGUCUUAAGUCUGAUGUGAAAGCCCCCGGCUCAACCGGGGAGGGACAUUGGAAACGGGGAGACUUUGGUACAGAAGAGGAGAGUUGAAUUCCAUGUGUAGCGGUGAAAUGCGUAGAUAUAUGGAGGAACACCAGUGGCGAAGGCGGCUCUCUGGUCUGUAACUGACGCUGAGGCUCGAAAGCGUGGGGAGCAAACAGG